UCCGGUUUGACACCGGCAGUCUCUCUAGAGUCCCCGGCAUUACCCGCUGGCAACUAGAGAUAAGGGUUUCGCUCGUUAAGGGACUUAACCCGACAUCUCACGACACGAGCUGACGACAGCCAUGCAGCACCUGUGCAAAAGCUCCCCGAAGGGCACUCCCCUGUUUCCAGGGGAUUCUUAAACAUGUCAAGUCUAGGAUAAGGUUCUUCGCGUAGCCUCGAAUUAAGCCACAUCCUCCACCGCUUGUGUGAGCCCCCGUCAAUUCCUUUGAGUUUCAGCCUUGCGGCCAUACUCCCCAGGCGGAGCACUUAACGCUUUCGCUACGGCCGAGAGGAUGUGGAAGUCCCCUCAACCCAGUGCUCAUCGUUUACGGCUAGGACUAC
rnacentral:misc_RNA from 1 species